rnacentral:rRNA from 1 species
UACGGGGGGGGCAAGCGUUGUUCGGAAUUACUGGGCGUAAAGGGCUCGUAGGCGGCCAACUAAGUCCGACGUGAAAUCCCCAGGCUUAACCUGGGAACUGCGUCGGAUACUGGAUGGCUUGAAUUCGGGAGAGGGAUGCAGAAUUCCAGGUGUAGCGGUGAAAUGCGUAGAUAUCUGGAGGAACACCGGUGGCGAAGGCGGCUUCCUGGACCGACACUGACGCUGAGGCGCGAAAGCGUGGGGAGCAAACAGG